rnacentral:rRNA from 1 species
GACGAACGCUGGCGGCGUGCUUAACACAUGCAAGUCGAACGAUGAAGCCGGAGCUUGCUCUGGUGAAUUAGUGGCGAACUGGUGAGUAACACGUGAGUAACCUGCCCUUGACUCUGGGAUAACUGCGGGAAACUGUAGCUAAUACCGGAUACGACCCUCGGAGGCAUCUCCUGGGGGUGGAAAGAAUUUCGGUCAAGGAUGGACUCGCGGCCUAUCAGCUAGUUGGUGAGGUAAAGGCUCACCAAGGCGACGACGGGUAGCCGGCCAGAGAGGGUGACCGGCCACACUGGGACUGAGACACGGCCCAGACUCCGACGGGAGGCAGCAGUGGGGAAUAUUGCACAAUGGGCGCAAGCCUGAUGCAGCAACGCCGCGUGAGGGAUGACGGCCUUCGGGUUGUAAACCUCUUUUAGCAGGGAAGAAGCGAAAGUGACGGUACCUGCAGAAAAAGCACCGGCUAACUACGUGCCAGCAGCCGCCGUAACAC